AUUGAACGCUGGCGGCAGGCCUAACACAUGCAAGUCGAACGAGUGGCGGACGGGUGAGUCAUGUCUGGGAAACUGCCUGCUGGAGGGGGAUAACUACUGGAAACGGUAGCUAAUACCGCAUACCCUCAGAUGUGCCCAGAUGGGAUUAGCUUGUUGGUGGGGUCACGGGUCACCAAGGCGACGAUCCCUAGCUGGUCUAAGAGGAUGACCAGCCAGACUGGAACUGAGACACGGUCCAGACUCCUACGGGAGGCAGCAGUGGGGAAGAUUGCACAAUGGGCGAAAGCCUGAUGCAGCCAUGCCGCGUGUAUGAAGAAGGCCUUCGGGUUGGAAAGUACUUUCAGCGGGGAGGCGUUACCCGCAGAAGAAGCACCGGCUAACUCCGUGCCAGCAGCCGCGGUAAUUC
rnacentral:rRNA from 1 species